rnacentral:lncRNA from 1 species
UGUAAUUUUGGUCACGAGACCGUGGGCUGUUAGCAAGUAAUGUGGAUCCUUCAUGUCCCUUUGAGAGGUGUAGAGGGCAAAUCAGCACACUAUUUUUGAGUGGUCCAGCCUCUACACCUCUUGAAAGGGACGUGAAUAUCCACAUAACUUGAAAUUGACUGAACUCAAAUGUGAUCCUAUCAACUCAAACUUGGUCCAGCCUCAAUCUAAU